rnacentral:lncRNA from 1 species
CAACAGACAGACAUGAAGGAAGCAGACGUUUGUGAGAAAUACCACAACUAAAACUCAUCAGCAGCAAGUUGUCUAGAUGAAGGCCAGAAACUGUGAAAGACUGAACACAGCACGUGUAAAGAUGUCAGCUAAAGAAGUGAAACGACCUGUGUGCCUGCAAACAAUGAGAGGCCUUCAGCGGUCGAGAGGUGACAGUUUCAACAGAAAGCCGCAAGGGGAAUCAAUACAGUGCAAACUACAAUUUCACUGUCCGAUCAUCGACCAUCAGCCCUGGCCGAUCGGAUGAUACCCUGGCUGGUUGUAUUCAAUUUGUUCCAGCAGCGUCCUUAAACCUAAUAAAGCAAUUGAUUGAGGCUCAA